AGCUAAAACCUAGUCCUCCUAACCCCUAUGAGUCCCCAACACUCUUUAACAACUAAUAAAACAUUGCCCCUCUUUAGUAAAGGCGAUUGAAAAACUUCUAGGAACUACAACAAUAGUACCGCAAGGGAAAACUGAAAUAGAAGUGAAAUAAAAAUAAAGCGCAACAAAGCAGAGCCACACCUCGUACCUUUUGCAUCAUGGUUUAGCCAGUCCAAUCAAGCGUAAAGAAUUUUAGUUUGACCCCCCGAAACCAGGUGAGCUACUUCAAAACAGCCUAUCAAGGGCCAACCCGUCUCUGUUGCAAAAGAGUGGGAAGAUUUUCAAGUAGAGGUGAUAGACCUACCGAACCUGGAGAUAGCUGGUUAUUUAGGAAAAGGAUCAAAGUCCUACCUUAAGUUUUUUAAAUCAUAAAAAUACCCCUUAAACUUAAGAGCUAUUCAAAUAAGGUACAGCCUAUUUGAAACAGGAAACAACCUAAAGAACAGGGUAAUAUUAUAUGGCACGUGUCCAAGUGGGCCUAAAAGCAGCCAACUUUCAAAAAGCGUUAAAGCUUAUACUCGAGCCCCCCCCAAUCCCAAAACUAACAGACAACCCUUAUAAAGUACUAAAUAAUUCUAUAAACUUAUAGAAGUUAUAAUGCUAAAACUAGUAACAUGAAGAAGUCCUUCUCCUAAGUGCACACGUAAGCCAAAAAGAACAACUCAUUGGCAUUUAACGCUAUUGAAUACAAAGCAACAACUCUUCAAGAAAACCUUGCUAGCACCAACGUUAACCUUACACAAGCGCACUCCAGGAAAGAUUAAAAGAGGUAGAAGGAACUCGGCAAACUUUAACCCCGCCUGUUUACCAAAAACAUCGCCUCCUGAAAACAAUAGGAGGUCCAGCCUGCCCAGUGACCAAGUUAAACGGCCGCGGUACCCUAACCGUGCGAAGGUAGCGCAAUCACUUGUUCUUUAAAUGAGGACUAGUAUGAACGGCAUCACGAGGGUUAUACUGUCUCCCACCUCUAAUCAGUGAAACUGAUCCCCCCGUGAAGAAGCGGGGAUACAACUAUAAGACGAGAAGACCCCAUGGAGCUUUAAACUCAGUAUCAACCACCAAAACUACACCUCAUUAGACAGGUGGACCUGAUUACUAGUUUUAGGUUGGGGUGACCGCGGAGUACAACACAACCUCCACGAUGAAAGACCUCCCUCUAAUCUAAGAGCAACAGCUCAAAGAAUCAAAAAAUUGACAUCCAUUGACCCAAAUAACCUUGAUCAACGAACCAAGUUACCCUGGGGAUAACAGCGCAAUCCAUUUCAAGAGCCCCUAUCGACAAAUGGGUUUACGACCUCGAUGUUGGAUCAGGGUACCCCAGUGGUGCAGCCGCUACUAAAGGUUCGUUUGUUCAAC
rnacentral:rRNA from 1 species